GCGCGCGCCCGACGCGGGGCCACCGACGAUCUCUCUCCCUUCCUCCGGCUCUCGCGACACGCGUGACACGCGAGGCGCCUCGUGUGCAUGCCGCGUGCGACACACGCGACCCGAUCCCCCGUCCGUAUCUCGUCCGGAGCCGCGCGACCAUCUUUGCGAGAGGAAGCGGUUCGUGUGAGAUAGUGACAGUAAAAGAGAGAGAGAGUAAAAAAAGGGAAGUAAAGGGAGCAAGAAAUAGGAAGAGAGGGAAAGACAAGAAAGAAAAGGAGUCAAAAAAUAGAACGUGUAAAAAGCGUGAUAACGUGCGGGUGACAACUCCUAAUUACUCUUCGUCUGGUAUUUGACUCCUAAUUCCUCUUCCUGUGUCGACUUUUCCUCCUCCUCCGUCGCGGAUCAACGAGGGUGGCCUGCUCAAAAAGCGGAACUGUGCGCGACGUUACGCAUUCGAGAGAGAGAGAGAGUAGUGAGCUGCGGCCGACGAGAGUGAAGUGCGCGCGCGAGAGGGCGGGCGGCCGCAUAGCCUCGUGGGUAUAUUUAAAUAGUGUCUCGGCUGGUCAGAGGAAGCCGACGCUUUCUUCGUCUUCGUCGUCGUCGUCGCCGUCGCCGCCGUUGUCGUCGUCGUCGCUGCCGCCGUCGCCGCCGCCGUCGCUGACGUCGUCAUCGCUGCCGCCGCCGCUGCUGCCGUCCUCGUAUUCCUGUUCCCGUCUCCGACGUCUCGAGGCCUGACUCAACCGCGUCCGUCUCUCCCGCUUUUCCCGCUGCAAACCGACUUGCAACGCGACACCGAGUCUCGAACAGCGCAAGGGGGUGGUGAGGUGGAUCGCUCGCGGAAUUCCGUUUGCCUCGAUGUUGCUGACGGUUCGAAGAGGACCGGCGUCCCAGGCGGUCGUGGGUGUUCCCUCGCGCGAAGUCGUUCAUCAGUUCGAUUUGCAUGUGAACGAACACGUGCGUUAUUAGAGGACUACUGCUUCAUCGACUGUUAAGCUCCGGGAUCAUUUGGAAUCGUUGAACGGGACUUCCGAGCGAACGAUCGACGAGGUUCGGCUUCGGAUUGGAUCGAAAUGAUCAUGCUGAUCGCGUGUCAUAAUGAUCAAGACCUAUAAGAGGUUGAUGUCAGUUGUCGCGUCCGUCGUAGCCGCCGGUUGGGAUCACCUGCGAUAAUAAACAAUAUUCCCUUGAAGAGAAAAAAAACAAGAUAGAGACUGAGAGAAAGAGAGAGCUAGAGUUAGAAAGUGAGAAAGAGAGAGACAGAAGCGGCCGCAUGCUGCGGCACGGCACUGCUGCCUCCGCCGGCACCGAGAAUGAAGAGAACGGCAUCGCGUAGGAUGAAGACUGAUGUGGAAGAAGCUCCGACGUCCCACUACCAGUGGUACUACAACACCUCGUGAGACGUUUGAAACGUACAUCGACGAAGACAGAGGGGAGCCGACGGGAGUCGAUUCGGCGUGCGGGACGGUCGUCGCGCGACAGUCGCUCCGACAGUAAGUGGAUAAUUGCGAGGAAGCGCGACGGGGAGGCGCGUUCGAAGAGAACACGACUAGUUAACGCAGCGCUCGCGAUACCUGCACAGCGGUGAAGGGGCUCGAGCUCGGUGGGAGUCGAGGAGGGGGCGAGAAGCGUGUGUGCCUCUGUGCGAGUCGGGGUGACCGAGGUGUCGACCUCACCCCCGAUUACACCAUCAACCAGGUUGGAUGAUGUGGGCGCCUCUGCUUUUGGCCGGGUUCUUAAGCGGCUGGUGGGGCGCACUGACACUCGCUGCGGCACCCCCCGCCAUUCGGGACACCCCAGGAGAAACGUACACGGCGAACAUCGCCACGAGGCAUUAUCGUCCACCAUCGAUUAGCCUUCUGGACGAGACGGUGCGUAAGGUCGUUCCGGGAUAUCACACGCGAGAAUUUCCUGUGUACUCAUGGUCCGAGACUCGUUCCGCGCACCGCGACCUUGACAAGAUCCCAUCGGUCGAGCCGAGCUCGGUGAAUCAGGAUCCCUCGAAGGAGAGAGGACACUCGCCGGAGAAUGACGCGCGACAGACCUCACGGCGCUCGAGCACGACGCACGAGGAGGAGCCGUCCGAAGAAGACCUCGGGUCUCGUGGUAUCCCCUUGAGGGACCACGUCCGCGCUUUUCACCCAAAGAUGGACGAGUCCGCAUUGACUCGCGCGCCUCGUCACUCCUCGACGCAGACACCCUUCGCGUAUCCGCCGACGGUCGCGACGGAAUCCGCGCGAUCGCGGAUCGCCAGAUCGGUGAAGCAACGACCAAAGAAUCGCACGAAGGCGGACUCGCCGCGCGAACAGCGACGUCGCUGCAAGAACAAGGACCGCUGUCGCGGUCAGAAUUGGUGUCCCGACGUCGACGUGGGCAAUCGUGCUUACCUGGCGCCCACCGUGUUCGAGGGUAAAGCACGCAGCAUGUCCUCCCCGAGGAAGCCCGGCUCAAACUACGCGGUGACCUUCGAGGUGAAGCAGGUCUACAAGAGCCAGCCGGGUUUUCAGCCGCUGCAGAAGAACGACAGCGUGCGGCUGCACUUUCGCGACAAAUCGGCGCCCGGCAAGUCCACUGCGUGCCACGAGGCUGGUGCCGGUAGCAAGGCCAAUAAGCAGCAACAGCAACAGCAGCAACAUCAGCAGCAGCGCGAUAAUUCGAGUGAUGUGGUGCGAGCCAAUAUUAAAAGGGGCAAAGUGUAUCUAGUGUUUGUGGAUCGCGUGGGACCCAGGAACUUCACGAUUCUCGGCGAGCCGGUAAUCCGAAGUAAGAAGAACGAACAGGCCGUCCAGGCUGUCGUUCGGCCGGAUUACGUGCGAGAAGUUACGUUGUCCGAACUCAGGGACUCGAUAGCGAGGUUACGGGAGAGAGUGAAGCUAGUAUGCAGGACGAGGGGCUCGCCUCCCCCGAGUGUACACUGGCUGAAGAACGGUGUACCGCUGCACCCCCGAAGAGGCCUCAGGAUUCAGCACAAACGGCGGAGAUCGAAACUCGUGAUAUCCUCCGCGAAGGCGGAGGACUCCGGCAGAUACGAAUGCGUGGCUGAGAGCACUUCCGGUCAUCGGGCCUCACUCGCGGCCCAACUUCUAGUCACUACUGAAUCCAGAAAUGUGGAAACAACGACAGCGGCGUGGCCGCGACGGGAGGAGCCCUGUCCGAUACCAGGAGAUUUUUGCAUGAACGGUGGUACCUGCCUAUUUUUCGAGACCGUCGGUGAACCGGCAUGCAGAUGCGCGGAUGGCUUCACGGGUCUGCGGUGCGAGACGAAGGACGUCAUCAGCACCGGAAAUAUGGAUAAGUUUUCUUCGUUCGCUGAGGACGUGACGCUCGCCCGCUUCUAGCGCAUCUAGCGGCACUGUCAAGCUUGCACAUCGGGACAUUCAUCGUGUUUUGUUUUGUUGUAGCCUCACCCACGCCCCCUCCCUAACCUCGUACAGGUUCCUGCAUCCGCGACCUCGCUCUCCGCACUCUCCUCGGGCUCUCCUAGAGCGCAUCCGGCGCUUCCUCCUCCCGCGACGCUACCGUCGCGCUCAUCCACCGACUCGCGUAACCGUCUCGAGCACUCGCUGCUCGCCCACCGUCACUUUUUCCCAUCCGUUCCGUAUCCCCGAAGCGCCCUUCUAUCCGUCAUCUCUCACCCCCUCAACGCCCCUACAUUUCACCCAUUGCCCGCCGUCAUCUCCUCGACGUCGACUUGCCUCGAGACGACGACGACGACGACGACGACGACAUCAGCCCACAACCACCAUCGUUUCUCAAAGGAAUAAUUUGGCCCGCCACUUCCUGCCGCAGGAGAGCCUCAGGAGACGAAGCGAGCCGCCGACCAACGUCAUCCUCGCACACUCCGCAUCCUGGACCGUCGUGAGUCAGAAUUCCAUGAGCUAGUCUGAACGAACGAGAGAGCCAUCAUCAUCGUCAUCGCGUUGAGCGCCCUUUCUACGCCGGACGAAGACCCAAUGCGACGAAAUGCUUUCAUCCUGCACUUGCCGAGCUUUUCUUGGAUCGUGACGAAGACCACCACAGCGAGCACUCGCGCGUUACCUAGAGAAGAGCAACCACUUCCUCGGCUGGGAUUAGAAAACUUCCAAUGACGCAGCUCGCCACCUCAUCUGCAAGAAAACUUUGCUUCUCUGUUCAACGGAAUGAAGACAUCGCGAGACACAACGACGAUGCGAAUGAGCUCGGCUGGAAGAGAGUAUUACGAACAACUCGCUGCCGUUUAUUACGAUCCAUUGUUCCCCAGUUAAAGCGUUCCCGUGGGAAUUUCGCCGCAAUUAGCCGAUUUGCACGUUUGACCUGCGACAUUCACUAACGCUUCGGCGUUUCCUUUUUUCUCUCGCUUUUCACGAGAACGUCGAACUCGCAGUUUGUAAUUCGGAGAAUAAUUUACGCCGUUACACGACUCGUACGAACGUAAGCUCACUAGCGGAUAGAACGGGAAGAGCGUGUCAAAGGACCUGGAGCCAUUCGUUUCCGACGCGGAUCAUACCGGCGGAAAGCAGAAUAAGAGAGGAAAGCCGUCGUAAAACCAUAGCAAAGGGCACGUGCAGAUCGACGUAGCACCACGGGGAUGUCGUGAUAUCAUUUUACGGGAUUGCAGGAGGAAGGACACUCGCGGGGGUGAUCCCCGAGUUGUGUAAUAGGAUUUUCGGGAUCAGAGUUUUACUGGAGGGACCCGCGGUAUCUUUCAGGCAGUAACGCGUAACGUGGAAUUUUCAACUUGCGCAGAUAGGACGCCGUUUUAAUUAGCGGAGUGUCCUCACGAUUACACGAGCCAGUUUCAGAGAAAUUCUAUCCGUGCAACUUCAGUCGAUGAUGUUCAGUUUUGCAACGCAAAACUGGGAUAAUUAAUCUCGUAUCGUUAAUUUCGUGUUACCUAAUUGAAGCAAUCUGGCUGAUUUCAAGGAACUUCCAAUUGAGCUAUCUUGCUUGCGCGCGGCGCAACGUUUCAAACUUUCCUCUGGUCCUAUCGAUAUCUAGAUUUCUUUCUAAUUGCAGACUCUCGAGGACAGACAGAUCGUUGAAAUCGCGCGAAGAAAUACUGAAAAUCCCCGGUUAGCCGAGACAUUUGUACACAAGUCCGAAAGAUACGUCGCAACCGUUUGUAUGCUAAAAACGGUCCUAGCCAGCCGCGAGAAGGCGCUCCGCAACUUCCGAGAGGAAAAUAUAAAAAAAAAAAGCAAACAGGAGAAAAGAAAAGAUUUCACCGAAAAGAAUCCCGGCCUCACCGACGCGUUCAGGACGCCCUUAUUGUACAAAGUACUCCCUCGUACCCCUUUUAGGUCAAGCGCGAUGCGUCGACCCUCGAGAGCGAUCGAAACGUCGACAGCGAGCUCUUGGCACCGUCUCGAUUUAUUCGUUUUCCGCCCCGUUCCUCCGCGAGCGGAGGACGCGGAAAAGAAACGCGCGGGCGAGCGGUGAGAGACGACGUCGCAAAAAUUGCACGACGUCAACGUCGUUCCCACCCCGAUCCCGACGGCGUGACGUUCCCAGACGUGAUUGGAUAACGAUUGUCAAAAGAAACGAUUCUCGGUCGGAACACGCGCUGCCUCGCUUAUGACGGUGUCGACCGGGCCGACAGUCGAUAUCGAUGAGGGGCUAGUUUCGCGUCUCCGUGGACGAGGGUAGACGCGUGCGCUUACUUUUUACAUUUUAGGGACAGUUGCAAGUGUAGGUAAUUCUGUGGGCGAACAAGCGAGCGGAGUGUUCCGAGCCGCGUUCUCACUGCGAGGUGAGAGGCGGAAAGUACUUUGCGACUCUAGCUAUGUAAACCAAAGACUCUCGAGCGAGACGGAGAGGAGGAGAUUGUCGUAGCGUAUGAUGUCCGUGCAAGCUUACUAGUGCCGCCGUGUGCUUUUUCGUUGAAUUUCGUUUCGUCGCUCGUACCUAUUGGACGAUUUGUAUGAAAGUCAUCGACAUGAGUCAUCGACGAUUCGCCGUGUCGGUCGGUAUCACGCGACGUCAAAGCGAGCGAGUUUUGAUUUUCGCCGCAGCGGGGAUCCCCCGCGGAAAAGUGAAGGCUGCGCGAAUGGCAUUUGGAGGUGAGAUCUCUCACACGUGUGAAGACACUGAUUUCCACAUGAUACGGAGUUCUAUAUCAUUUCCUCCUCUUGUAUCAUAUUUCUCUAUUACUCGAUAAUAUAUAUUAAAUUCAUUGAAUAUUAUUAUAUAUAACAUUCUCUGUAGUAAUGUGUAUAGAAAUAUAACGGUAUCAAAAGAUCCCCCCCUCUUGAAGGAACAAAACGGUUCGUUCCUCUUUCUUUCCCCCCCUUUUUCUUUCGUCGACGAACCAAAGCUAUACGCGCAAGACGAUUAUGUAGCGAGGAGAGACACUCGUAUUGUACCAAUAGGCAAAAUAUUUUACUCCACACUCGUCGGCGUUCAGCCGACUUGUGGCUUCGAACAUUUAUCGGUCUGUCCGCUUAAAAUGCCGCGGCUCCGCGUACUUGACGCAGAUUGCGCGAUUACCGGGACGAGGCGGCGAGUCUACGAAUAGCGAACAAAGAAAGAAUGUAUUUUAUGAUAUUUUACGCAUAAAAGAAAAAAAAACGAUCGUGAGAAUCGACGAUAGCGUUAGUCCAAGGUAAACUUAAGUAGGGGUGUAUAAAAUGACAAUUCGUGCGCGCCGCGCGCGCGCGCGCGCGCUCUCUCUCUCUCGCGGGACACCGCGACGCGAUCGAACGCGAUUUACACGUAAGGAGGAGGAGGAGGAGGAGGAGGAGGAGGAGGAGGAGAAUCGAUCUUCGGUCCACGAGGUGGAUGGGACCGCGGAAUGGUGAUUGAACACCCACGCGUCCAUCGUAUCGACGAUUGUUUCGUUAAUGAUGGACGUGUACUUUGUCGAUUACACGAUCGACAUUAGAGAUAGAAAUAAAGGGGACGGAGAGGGGAAGAGGAGCGAUGGUGCUCGAUUGCUCCUAUCCUCUCACGCCCGAGCGCUCGGUCGAAAUUGCGAUCGGGAACAAACACCGCGCAUUUUCCGAGCGUACAAUCGUGAUCGACUCGAUCAACGGCGCUUCCUCGCGCAGCCUCUGACAAUUGUCGCACAUCACCGUUUCGCGGGACAACUCCCAAUCACUGGUAUACUAAGCGCUACUGUAAAAUAUUGUAUAUUGUUUCGCGUUGUUUAUUUUUCAAUGUUUUUACUAGAGACGCGUUUUUACGAUAUUUACGGAGAAUUGUCGCGUAAUGUUGUACUAAACACACGUGACGCCCGCUGCUCCGUUAUACCGUGCCACUUGCGACAAAAGAGACCUGCCCCGAACACCAUCGCUCAGCGAGUCAUAAAAGAUUACGGGGACGAUAAGAAAUAUGAAAAAAAGAGACGUAAAAAAAUUGUAGGGUGAGAAAUUUAUGUUCUAUAUCUACAUGAACUCACCGCUGGCGCGUUGAUGUCGGCAUGAAAUAUUCAAAUAUGACGUUCUACCUUUAUCAAAGUCCUAAAAAAAAAUGAAUUCGAAAUUUUUAUUAUUAUCAUAAUUCGUUCUCAUCUCUCGUCUAUUUAAUUCGCGCUCGAAUUACUCUCGAUCAUUGUCAAUACCUCUCGUUGAAAGAUUAUUAGUCAAAAUUUAUGGAUCAUAAUUAUUGUGCAAUAUUGAUUACAUUGGUAGACCAAAUAUUUUCAGCUUGAACGUCCGUCAGUCCUACAAAGAGCGGGAUAUCCUUUUCGUCUUUCUUCCUACAGAACGCACCUUCUUUCUACCGGUUUCUAUAACAACGAUCCUUAACCCCCGCACCUGCCCCCUUCACUAAUUUUACGUCACAAGAGGACUUUAAACAAUUCACGAACCGGCAAACUCCAUUACGGUUACUGUCCGACAUGUCGCUCUCUCACGGUAUUGCGGGCCAGCGGGAUAAGUACGUUUGUAAAACUACAGCGUAUCUCCAGCAGCUUUUGCAGUGUGUGAGCUAAAAGCGAAUUCGGAGCAAAACUAGUCUAGGGCACAUUUACGAGCGUAUAGCUUGGGUGCGGAGAAUUAUUACGAGUGUAACGUCCGUCUACGGCGUAAACAACGUGCUUUUGAGGAGGAAGAAAAUAUUUCGGGUAUGAAAAGUCUUACGAACGUCUGAUUAUUGAAGCGAUCGCGCAGCGAUUCAACAAUUAGAUUGCCUCUCUCGGAUGAAAUUCCACGAAUAUUGUUCCCCAAACACUCCUCGCGUCACUGAAUGUCAUCCUUGAGUUGUUCAUUAAUCAACGGAACAGAAAAGAAAGAAAAAAAAGGAGUGUAUUUUGAUUACUAAAGGACGUCACUGCAACUGUUGGCAUGAAUCGCGGAGGAUUGAAAUAUUCGUUGAAAUUUCGGAAAUGUAAUAUAUUUGUUGGAAGAAAUCGCGCGGAAACGCGUGGAAUAUUCGUUAAUGUAAUUCGCGAAAAUAUAGGAUACUUGUUGAAACUCGGGAACGGCGAGUCCCCUUAUGAGAAUGAAAUCGUGCAAAUUUUUGAAGCGUUUGUAGAAGCGCAUCAGAAGUCUAAAGUGUCUGUUGCAGUCUCGAGUGCUCGAAAGUAUCGUCUCUCAAAAGCAUCGGAUGUCUCGAAGAUGAAGAGUCAGGCGGACGAGUCAGCGCGCAUGAGACGCACGUUCGUGCGUUUUCGGCGAUAGUCUUAUAGUAAAGAGACUACGCACUGUGAACUAAUAUGGCUAAUUCUAGCAGCACGAAGUAUUAACGUUAAUAGCGAAAUUACUGUAAGGGAGACGUAACGGCGAAUUACUAAUAAAUAGAUCACCAACGGUACUUCCCGAAACGAUCUUACUCGGUCGUAUUUUGGCGAGACCAAAAUGUGCUCGGAGAAAUGGCAAAUAUAAAUGGAGAAUGGCGUUUUACUUCGAUAAUCGACCGGUCGCUGAAGAAUUUAUCGCGGCAGCAUCGAUUCACACUCGUGACGAUCGCUUAACGAACAGCAAUAAAACCUUCAUUUUCCAUUCACGCUUUUAAAGUAUUGUAUUUUCUCCUUAAAAACCAAAAAAUUUCUAUUAUUGUGUUAUAUUCUACUUUUUAAUAUAUUCUACACGGAGAAAAGAAGUCCGAAUUAACAUGAUAUGUUUGGUUAAACAAGUUUUGGUGGACUUUAACAAAAUUUCUGGUUAUUACAAUGAGAUAUUCUGACACGCAAAUAGAAUGUUUAAAUGUAAUAUUCAAAAUUUAUUUACUGCGUAAUAACAUUCUAGUAUCUGGUUAUUAUGACUGCCUGAGAAAAGAAGUUGGAUUAACGUGACACAUUUGGUCGAAUGAUACUUUUGAUAGAACAGAAUUUUUGAUGAAACUAAACAGAAUUUCUGGUUAUUAUUUCUGAUUAAAUGUUUCAAAACAUUAAAGUGCAAUAUCGAUCAUAAAUUGGUUACUGCGUAUUCAGUCUACCACAAACCCAAUGUCUUACGCGCGUGAAUCUCGAGCAUUCGGAUAUUAAAGGAAUUAACCUUACAGAAUUCACCUCACUGCUUCGCGCGCGCGAGCAUUGUAUCAUAGCACAGUUUAAGUUUAACCAGUUACGAUAGUAAUUGUCGGCGUCUUUGAUAUCGCAGUCAUAUGAUCACAUGAUCUAUCGCCAAGUCUUUGGGGUUAGGAGAACGCCGAGUUUUAAAAUAGAAUAAUUUCAAUAUAAUAGAGCUAGUUGUAAGAAUAUUUAUCUAAAAUCGCUGGAAUAAACAUGUAAUUUGAAAAUUAAAAUUUUUAAAUUGAAAAAUAAAUAUAAAAUUGAUAUUAUUGAACAAAUAAGUAUCUUAAACGUUAUUACACGUAUUAAGGGCUUUGCUGAAUGUAACAAGCAAAAUUUAUGUAAAAAAUUAGACCAUAUUUUAUAACUGACUCAAUAUGUCUAUUUCAAAUAUAGAACUGUAUUGUAGGCAAGAGCAAAAACAUAUAUGAAUAAAUAUUUAUAUGUGUAGUUCUUAUUUAUCAAAAAUUGCACAAUUACAUAAAUAAUAAAUUUUCUCACUUAUGAAAAUCUUUCAGGAAACGAAAGAAACUAAUACCUUUUUUGAAAGUUGUAGUAUUAUUGUACAUUAAAACGAUACAUGUGUAUCCGUGUAUACUACACCCGUUUAUUUAAUGUUUUACUUCUUCACAAAUAAAAAACAAAUAAGUUUAUCAUAUUAUACUAUUGCUUACUAUUAUCUUAAUUUUUCUCUAUUAAGUUUUCUUUAUUUAUUUACAUGUACUCAUCACAUAAAGUUGCAUCGACAUGUUGCUGGUUGCGUCGUUCACAAAUGCGCACUGGAAAUUUAUUUCUGCAUUUCUGGCUACUCUCGUAACUGAUUAUACUUAAACUAUGGUCACAGUUUUAAUUAAAUUAAAAAGAAAACUAUGGCAAAAUAUAAUUUUUAUCCCAAUUACUUUUUAUGAUAUGAAAUGAUAUUGUUGAAAAAUUGCAUAAUUGUGUUUACACAUAUGUGUAAGCAAUAUAUCAGAUUUAAGGUGCGUUCGGAAACGUCACCCGGAUACAUCCGUUGCGUUGAAGUGAGAGAGAUACAAGAAUGAGAUAAAGAGAGAACACUCGGAUGAUGUUUUCAAACACAUUCCUAUUAAUUAGAGAAGUGACGUAGCGCGUAAGACAGCAGACUCAUAAUCCAAAGAUCUCGCGUUCAAAAUUUACCUGAGUAAAGGCGAAUUUGGUAGUGACCUUUUUUGCUGAGGUUGACACAAACAAAUCUAUCUAUAGUUACUUUAAACAAAACACAUGUAACAAAAUUUAUCUAGUUAUUUGAAUCAGAAUUACGAAUAAUUCAUUUUUCACCAGUCUAAUUAAUUUAAUCGAAUUUCAAAUUAAUUCAAUCAAUUUUUUCCGUGUACAUUUUAUUAUAAGAAAAAUGAAAAUCCAUAUAACGAAUCCUAUAUAAUUACAAAGAGGUUGAUGACGAAAUUAGAAGAUUAAAGAUAGAUUAAAAUAGAAGAUUAAAAUUUUACAAAGUAUUUAUACAAUCGAAUAUAUAAAAAUACAUAUUAAAAAAAGAAACUAAAUCUUCAAACGGCACGUGUCGAUUAUUCGAAGAGAAAUAAACGCCUCUGUUCAUGUAGAUUUGUCAUCGGAUCGAGUAAUUGGGCAUCGCGGACAAAGAAUAGCAUACAUAAAGGCACAAGAUGAUUUUUAUUAUCAUCUUUCGUUCGUACACUCCACCGAACGAGGCAGAUUACGAUUGAAUAUGUUACGUUGACCAUUCGAGUCUAUGGGUGUAUUUGUAUAAAUAAGUCUCGUUUAAAUUGAAGGAGCGUAGCGUUCGAUUGAGUUUUGAAUUAUGCGUGACCAGGACGCUUCGACGCGCAACGCAAAGUUUGUUAGAAAAUGAUUGAGAUUGAGUAUCGGUAUCAAUAUCGAAAAUUUAUAUGAGAAGCUUUACGCUGGAAGAUACUAGUCAAUCACCUCGAGAAGUCGGCGAGCGAAAACUUUAUUCUAGUCGUAUCUCUCAUGCUUUGCCAAGUAACCUAAUAUAACUCCUGUGUUAAAUGUAAUGGUCAAUUAUGUUUUAAUAAAAUCU